rnacentral:lncRNA from 1 species
CUAAUUUUAAAAAUUAAAAAAUAAUUGUAUGGUAUUAGCCACCAUCAACCAUAAAAAAUAGGUCUUGGCGGAGAAAAUUACAAAAACAACACUGCAAUGAAUAAAUCAAAGACUCCAAUUUAUACUCUGUAAUAAAAGAAAUUACCUGCAAAAAUUAAAUUUGAGUAGCAGGAAGUUGGUGACACACAGCAAAUUCUAAAAUUACCAGCAAUAAUUGAAUUUGACAACAAGAACCUACUUUCAACGCACACAUAAAACUCAUAAAACAGGAAAACCACAAUUUGCCUUGGGAUUUUACCUUUUCUCUUCCUUUUUCAUUUCCCUAAGUCACAAGUGAGAGAAACUUUGCCAGAAUUAGGAGCCUAUUUUCUCAUUAUUUUGAUGUGGCUCUCUUCAGAUAAAGCAGUGACUCUAUAAUAAUAGGCUGUAUAAUGGUAAAAUUGAGUAUAAAUUGACGGAGAAAGAGACACGCCUGAGUCGUCGUCGUCCGGUCAAAGCCACUGCAGACGUCGCUGGAAGAGAGGAGGAGCGUGAGUAGUGAGAGAUAAGAGAGAAGCGUGGGAAAGGAAAAGAUAAUUAGAAAAGUAACGGCGUGGGCC